rnacentral:misc_RNA from 1 species
CAGCCUGAAGGCAACCUAGAAUAGAUAUAACUGUUAAACUGGGAAAAUUUAACAUCAUAUUGCUAAUUCGAGUCACUUUGGUCAUACAUUUGGACUUUUAUUUGGUAGAAAUACUGGAAAAUCUCUAGCUGUACAGAUCCCUUCAGUCGUAGCUGCAAUAAUUAAAAGUUUCCUCUCAAUCGGAUCAAGAGACCACCAACUCUCAGUAGCAACGGCUAAGCAACCGUGUACCAAAACACAGCCAUACAAUGAAUCAAGACAUUCCAUGUAUCCCUCGAGGCAGCUCUGGGGGAAAAAUAUUGGUUGUGCCUCCAAGGUGUAUGGGAAUUUCCUAUAUCAACUGCUUGAACUGAGGAAUGGGACCUGAACCAGCAGUAGGUAGUUGAGGUCAUUGACUUUCAUUAGGAUCUGCAGGUAACUGCAGGAUAUACAAAGGAAAUUCGAUUCUCAAUAAAUAAAAUUUGUGUAACAGCCUCAAGCCUUGAUUAUUUAUUGAUAAGUCUUGAAUAAGUAUAAAAAUUCUGGUGCAUAAGUUUCUGUAUAUUCAAUGUAAUACGUGUUAUUGUAGGAUAACUGGGCAUGUAUCAAGGUAGUAGCUCACUUUUUUUGUUUCCUUUUUUAACAUGACUCAUAUCACCAUACCUACUCGCAAGCCUUGGCUUCUCCCAGAAUGGGAUAGUCCAAGAAACUUAGUUCAGAGUUUGAUUGGAAGUGAUCAAACACUAAAAUUUCGUUUUCCCCUUUCGUGAGCAGUGGUGCUGGUAAAUACUGAGUUCCGGUCGGUCCUAAGUGACAAUAUCUGCCCAGAUUGAAGCCAUUCACAAAUAUUAUCCCUUUGGACCAGCUCCUCAAGUCAAUGAACGUGUCAUAGACUUCGGUUAAACGCAAAACAAAUUUGGAAACAGUAGGCCCUACUUUGUUGGUAGCAGGCCCUUGCUUCCAGUUUUCCAAUGACUUCACCCAUUUAGAAGUAAACUCCAGUGCAUAGAUUUCCCAAUCUUUGAGCUCAUUACCAUCAAGGUAAACUGGACCUUGCCACAAACCUUUCCUUUGAUCAAAGUUAGAAAGCACUCCAAAGUUAACACGUCCCCAAUUUUCAACAAUGAUAUCCAAAGUCUGGCUGCCUCCUUUGUCUGAAUUUAUAGUCAACUCUGCAUCUCUGGAAAAAUAGAUUCGUUUCAUCAUGGGUUGAUCUCAUUGUUUGAUUUCCCUAUUAAAAUGUAGCAGCUCACUUCUGCAUCCAAUAACCAAAACCGUUUAUAUCUUCGACAGAUUCUAAUGGCUUGCUCUUCAAUUCUCC